GUUAUUCACAAGUGGCUCCAGUCUGGUUUGGGGGUCUACGCUUUCUCAUUCUGUCCUGCCAUUCAAGUAAAGUUAUUCACAAGUGGCUCCAGUCUGGUUUGGGGGUCUACGCUUUCUCAUCCUGUCCUGCCAUUCAAGUAAAGUGCUGUGAGGAAAAACACAGAAACAUGGUCAGUCAACGACGCGGUGGUCACUAAGCACGCAAUCAGGUGGUUCAACGAGGAGACCUGUCCUGCCUCCAUCCACACCAAACGGAUUAAUAGGAGAAAUAAACAUUAAACAAUCUUUUUUAUUGAA